GAUGAACGCUGGCGGCGUGCCUAAUACAUGCAAGUCGAGCGGACGGACGAGAAGCGCGCUCUUCUGAUGUUAGCGGCGGACGGGUGAGUAACACGUGGAUAACCUUCCUAUAAGACGGGGAUAACUUCGGGAAACCGCAGAUAAUACCGGAUAAUACUUUGAACCGCGGGGAUCAAAAGUCAAAGAGGCUCUUGCUGUGUCUUAUAGAUGGAUCCGCGCUGCAUUAGCGAGUUGGUAAUGUGACGGCUUACCAAGGCAACGAUGCAUGGCCGACCUGAGAGGGUGAUCGGCCACACUGUAACUGAGACACGGUCCCGCCUCCUACGGGAGGCAGCAGUCGGGAAUCUUCGGCAAUGGGCGGAAGCCUGAUGUAGCCACGCCGCGUGAGUGAGGAACGUCUUCGGAUCGUAAAGCACUGUUAUUUGGGAAGAACAGAUGUCUAUUAAACUGUACAUAUUUUGACGGUACCUAAUGAAUAAGCCACGGCUAACUCCGUG
rnacentral:rRNA from 1 species